UUCUUGGAGAGUUUGAUCCUGGCUCAGGACGAACGCUGGCGGCGUGCCUAACACAUGCAAGUCGAGCGGGGUUGAGGCGAGAGGUAACUCGAGCUUCUACCUAGCGGCGGACGGGUGAGUAACGCGUGGGCAACCUGCCUCAAGGUUUGGGAUAACAGCCCGAAAGGGCUGCUAAUACCGGAUAUGCCUAUGGCCUCGCAUGG
rnacentral:rRNA from 1 species